CCAUAUGUAGAUCCAGCGGAAAAUCAAACCGACUCGGAUCCGAUUUAACUCCAAAACAAAACCCUAAAACAAAGUUAGCGUGAUUCUACCAUCCACACACUCACAGAGAAAGAGAGAGCGUUCCCGGCACACGUCCUCUCUCUUCCAUUACAAAGAAGAAAAAGAAGAAGAAGAAAGUUUAUCUGAAGCGACGAGAUGUCGGACCGGUUGACGCGUAUAGCUAUAGUCAGCUCUGACAGAUGCAAGCCCAAAAAGUGUCGUCAGGAAUGCAAAAAGAGCUGCCCCGUUGUUAAAACCGGGAAUUUGUGUAUUGAGGUUACUUCUGCCUCUAAGAUUGCCUUUAUCUCUGAGGAGUUGUGCAUUGGAUGUGGUAUCUGUGUUAAGAAAUGUCCAUUUGAAGCAAUCCAGAUCAUCAACCUGCCGAAGGAUUUGGAUAGAGAUACAACUCAUCGUUAUGGCCCCAACACUUUUAAAUUACACAGGUUACCAGUUCCAAGGCCUGGGCAAGUGCUUGGUUUGGUUGGAACCAAUGGUAUUGGGAAAUCAACUGCCCUCAAGAUUUUGGCUGGAAAACUGAAACCAAAUUUGGGUCGUUUUAACAAUCCUCCAGAUUGGCAGGAGAUUUUGACCUAUUUUCGGGGAUCUGAGUUGCAGAAUUAUUUUACUCGAAUUUUGGAAGAUAAUUUGAAGGCUAUUAUAAAGCCUCAAUAUGUUGAUCACAUUCCAAAAGCUGUUCAAGGCAAUGUAGGGCAGGUGCUUGACCAAAAAGAUGAGAGAGAUAUGAAGGAGGAACUCUGUGCAGAUCUUCAGCUAAAUCAAGUCAUAGAUCGUAAUGUUGGGGAUUUGUCAGGUGGAGAGCUACAGAGAUUCGCCAUUGCUGUUGUUGCCGUACAAAAUGCAGAGAUCUAUAUGUUUGAUGAACCUUCUAGUUAUCUUGAUGUUAAACAGAGGCUUAAAGCUGCCCAAGUUGUUCGAUCCUUGCUCAGACCUAAUAGCUAUGUUAUUGUCGUAGAGCAUGAUCUUAGUGUCCUGGAUUACCUAUCAGAUUUCAUUUGUUGCUUAUAUGGGAAACCUGGUGCAUAUGGAGUUGUAACCCUUCCCUUCUCUGUCAGAGAAGGAAUAAAUAUUUUCUUGGCUGGAUUUGUCCCUACCGAAAAUCUACGUUUUCGUGAUGAAUCUUUAACCUUCAAGGUUGCUGAGACUCCGCAGGAAAGCGCUGAGGAAAUUGAGACAUAUGCCCGAUACAAAUACCCCACAAUGUCUAAAACUCAGGGAAAUUUUAAGCUUCGUGUGGUCGAGGGUGAAUUUACUGAUUCUCAGAUUAUUGUAAUGUUGGGUGAGAAUGGAACAGGAAAGACAACCUUUAUUCGUAUGCUGGCUGGGUUAUUGAAACCUGAUAACAUAGAAGGUUCUGACGUGGAGAUACCAGAGUUCAAUGUCUCUUACAAACCUCAGAAGAUCAGUCCAAAAUUUCAGAAUACAGUCAGACAUCUGCUGCAUUCAAAAAUACGUGAUUCAUACACUCACCCUCAGUUUGUGUCAGAUGUGAUGAAGCCUCUACUUAUUGAACAAUUGAUGGAUCAAGAAGUUGUGAAUCUCUCUGGUGGAGAAUUGCAAAGGGUUGCAUUAUGCCUGUGCCUUGGAAAGCCUGCAGACAUUUAUCUGAUUGAUGAACCUAGUGCAUAUCUGGAUUCUGAGCAGCGUAUUGUUGCUUCAAAAGUUAUUAAGAGGUUUAUCCUGCAUGCAAAGAAAACUGCAUUUGUGGUUGAGCAUGAUUUUAUAAUGGCCACAUAUCUGGCAGAUAGAGUUAUUGUUUAUGAGGGAAGGCCAUCAGUGGACUGUAUUGCAAAUUCUCCUCAGUCAUUGUUAACUGGAAUGAAUCUUUUCUUAUCUCAUCUGGAUAUCACAUUUAGGCGGGAUCCAACAAAUUUCAGACCAAGAAUCAACAAAUUGGAUUCCACCAAGGAUAGGGAUCAAAAAUCUGCUGGGUCAUAUUAUUACCUGGAUGAUUAAAAUAGUAUCAACAGGUUCUUGUACUUGGUUGUCUGCCUUACUUGAUUGUACUUUGAUGAAUGAGGCACUGUGAGAUCAACUGUUGUCAGUGGUGGAAAAGUUAAAAAGCAUCAAUGUCAGCUUCAUAUUGGAUCUCUGCUGAAGUGGGAUCAGGAUGUGAUACAUUGCGUUGAAGGUCCUUUGCCUGUGAAAGAUCAA